UUUGACUUUUCUGAGGGAUGUAUCUGUCCCACUGGUUAGGUUUUGAUUUAGUAGUGAAAUAUUGCUUGGAAGAUAUAUCAAUUGUUGUUAAUUACUGGUUAGUUGCUAAGUCACCGUCCAACUCUUUUGUGACCUCAUGAACUGUAGCCUGCCAGGCUCCUCUGUCCAUGGGAUUUCCCAGGCAAGAAUACUGGAGUGGAUUGCCAUUUCCUUCUCCAGGAGAUCUUCCCAACCCAGGGAUUGGGCUUGCAUCUCCUGCAUUGGCAGGCAGAUUCUUUACUACUGAGCCACCUAGGAUGCCUGAUAUAUUAGUAACUGAGUAUAAAAGGAAGUCCUCUCACACAUCAGUUUUCCUAAACUCUGUGAUAUGCAUAAUUUAUUAACACAAGUCCAAUGAAGCCUUACUUGACAAUAUUUGGCCUUGCUUCAACACUUUUGAGCCCCUUCCCUGUGACUGAGACAGCAGGAUGCCAUGAAGAGAGCCUGGGCUUUGGUGACACAGUCUGGCAUGUCCACUGUUCCUUAACUUCAUACUAGCCUGUCACCUUGAUCACAUGACUUCACCUUUCAAAGCCUCAGCGCUUUGUGAUGUUAACACAGGGAUGGCUGAGACAACUCCUAUCAAGUGCUGAGCUUCUUGACUGGCCUGGCCAGCACUGUUUUGUUGCUGGCAACCCACAUGUGAGAUGGCUGGCCGGUGCUGCCGUGUCAGCAAUUCUGUGGUCAGAGGACAUGACUUUCUGUUCUUACGCAGCAUACUGCAUUGUUUGGAGACCACACCUACCAUUUGCCCUCCAGAAGCUGAGUGCUAAUAUUGAUAGAAAUCCAGCUGCCUUCAGGCUGCCAGACAGGGACAAGAUCUUCAGUUCACCCCUGUUCAGUUGGGAAGGUGAGACAAAUUUAAAAAACAAUAGCUAUGGGACCAACAAACAACAGCUCAGCACAAGUAAUAUACUGCCUGUUUAGUUCAGCCUGUACUCAAUAUGCCUUGACUCUGGG
ensembl:lincRNA